rnacentral:rRNA from 1 species
AAGUCGUAACAAGGUUUCCGUAGGUGAACCUGCGGAAGGAUCAUUAGUGAAAUGUGGUGUCUUGGGACCCAUUUAUCUACCAUCUAUCCUGUGGACUGAAGAGUGUGUAUGCAUUCGAAGAUCAUUAAACAACGUCGUUGAAUGUGAGCUCUGCAAUGCAGAUUAAAACAAAUACAACUUUUAGCAACGGAUCUCUUGGCUCUCGCAUCGAUGAAGAACGCAGCGAAAUGCGAUAAGUAGUGUGAAUUGCAGAAUUCAGUGAAUCAUCGAAUCUUUGAACGCACCUUGCACCCUUUGGCAUUCCGAAGGGUAUGCCUGUUUGAGUGUCUUGAAGUACUCAAGGCCGCCCCCAGUGUUCAACGCUGGUGNUGGCGUCUUGGUCCUGAGCACUGCCAGUUUAAAUGCCACUGGCUUGCUUCAAAUGGAUUAGCGGGGCCGUUACAGUCUCACAAGCGUAGUAAUUAUCGCCUGGGCAGUAAUGCGCUCGCUUAAAACACCCCCCCAUUUUCAUCAGACCUCAAAUCAGGUAGGACUACCCGCUGAACUUAAGCAUAUCAAUAAGCGGAGGAAAAGAAACUAACAAGGAUUCCCCUAGUAACGGCGAGUGAAGCGGGACGAGCUCAAAUUUUAAAUCUCGCAGUCUCAGACUGUGCGAGUUGUAAACUAGAGAAGUGUUUUCCGUGCUGGCCUGCGUACAAGUCCCUUGGAAUAGGGCGUCAUAGAGGGUGAGAAUCCCGUACUUGACGCAGACAACCAGUGCAUUGCGAUGCACUUUCAAAGAGUCGAGUUGUUUGGGAAUGCAGCUCAAAACGGGUGGUAAAUUCCAUCUAAAGCUAAAUAUUGGCGAGAGACCGAUAGCGAACAAGUACCGUGAGGGAAAGAUGAAAAGCACUUUGAAAAGAGAGUGAAACAGUACGUGAAAUUGCUAAAAGGGAAACGCUUGAAGUCAGUCGCGNCCGCGCGCCGGGGCAACUCGGUGCCGGGCGGGUCAGCAUCAGUUUUGAUUUUCCGUUGUAUAAAGGCAGGUGGAAUGUAGCUUUUCCAAGUGUUAUAGCCAUCUGUUGCAUGCAACGGUCAGGACUGAGGAACGCAGCACGGUGUUUAACACCCCCGGUCUUCGGACACGUACACGUGCUUAGGAUGCUGGCAAAAUGGCUUUAAACGACC